rnacentral:lncRNA from 1 species
UAACAUAUUAUAUAGUUCACAACGUUUUGUUUUCGUCUAUGUUUCUUCUAAUGCAGUCAAGAGGCAGCAAAGGAAUCUAUCAUCUACAGUUACAGACAUGGCUUUUCCGGCUUUGCAGCUAAGUUAACAGAAGCUCAAGCCAAAAGGAUUGCAGAAUUACCUGAUGUGGUCCAUGUAGUUCCAAAUUAUUUCUACCAGCUGCACACAACAAGAAGUUGGGAUUACCUUGGACUGUCCACAUACUCUCCUCCAACAAACCUUCUUCAUGAAGCCAACAUGGGAGAUGGUAUCAUCAUAGGUGUCCUUGAUACAGGUUUUGUUGGGUUUUAAAGGUGUGAACAGGAAAUGAAGGGUUGUGACUCUCCUGAAGAGUUAUGACUAUGCCGAAGGGUUGUGAGCUUUAUGAAAGGUUGUGUCCUUUCUAAAGGAUUGUGACCGUUUGAAAGGUUAUGCCUUUUCCCAAGUGUUGUGACCUUUCUGAAAGGUUGUCUUCUUUCUGAAAGGUUGUCUUCUUUCCGUUAAUCGGUUAUGUCAAUAAUUAGAAACAUAACAAAGUUAUAUUUGCAAUUUAAAUUUUUUUAUAUAUAUAUAAUAUUGAAUUUCUUAAAUAUACUUUUUAAACAUAAAUCACAAGUAAAAUGUAAAACACAAUACUUAAAAGUAUAUCAAUUAUACAUGCCCAAACAUAAAAAAAUAAACUAAAUCAUAAUGAAAAUAACUAAAAAGGGACAAAAGUAAUUAACUCCAACUUAAUUCUAAAACAUGAUUUUUCUGGUUUUCAUUUUUCUAAAUCCAAAAUCAAACCAAAAAACCAAACAAAGUAAAUUAUAAAUCCAAAACCAAACCAAAAAUCCAAAAAACCAAUCCAAAUUAGAAUUUGGUUUGGUUUUUCGGUUUAAUCCAAAUAGUGCACACCCCUAGUGUGAUUAGACAACAAUAACAAAUCCAGUGCAGUUCCACAAAGUGAGAUUUGAGGAGGGUAGAAUCUAUGCGGACCUUACCCUACUGCAAAGGUAGAGAAACAAUAAAGUUUAAUAGAAAAAGGAAUCGAGCAAUUUCCAACUAUGCUCAACUAUUAUAAAUAGUGGAGAUUGAUGGCAAAGAUUGUUAACUCCAAGUAGUUCUUUGUAUAUCUGCUUUAACUUUGGACAGAGCACACAAAAUGAGCAACACUUACUAUCUUCCACUCUACUUGGCUUUUGUUUUUCUAAUCGUACUUCUUUUGAACCUUUCAGACAUCUUACUAGUGCAGGCAAAUGGUGAAAGCAAAGUGAGAAAUGAGCAUUUUCUCUUUUACUAGUCUACUUAGUAAUAACUCUUCCAGAUUCUCAUAUGUUUUUUUAAUUGUAUAGCAGAUAUUAGAUAUGAUUGUUAAACAUAUAUAGGUUCAUGUUGUUUACUUGGGAAGAAGGAAACAAGAUGAUGUCGAACUCACAACAUCAUCUCACCAUCAAAUACUUUCUUCAGUCCUUGGAAGGUAAUCCAGGGAAAAGAUAAAGCUAAUUAAUUCCUAUGGUCUCCUCUAUACUUGAUAUUCCGAAAACAUGAAGGAAGUAACAUAUUAUAUAGUUCACAACGUUUUGUUUUCGUCUAUGUUUCUUCUAAUGCAGUCAAGAGGCAGCAAAGGAAUCUAUCAUCUACAGUUACAGACAUGGCUUUUCCGGCUUUGCAGCUAAGUUAACAGAAGCUCAAGCCAAAAGGAUUGCAGAAUUACCUGAUGUGGUCCAUGUAGUUCCAAAUUAUUUCUACCAGCUGCACACAACAAGAAGUUGGGAUUACCUUGGACUGUCCACAUACUCUCCUCCAACAAACCUUCUUCAUGAAGCCAACAUGGGAGAUGGUAUCAUCAUAGGUGUCCUUGAU